rnacentral:rRNA from 1 species
AUUGAACGCUGGCGGCAGGCUUAACACAUGCAAGUCGAGCGGAGAUGAGGUGCUUGCACCUUAUCUUAGCGGCGGACGGGUGAGUAAUGCUUAGGAAUCUGCCUAUUAGUGGGGGACAACAUUCCGAAAGGAAUGCUAAUACCGCAUACGUCCUACGGGAGAAAGCAGGGGAUCUUCGGACCUUGCGCUAAUAGAUGAGCCUAAGUCGGAUUAGCUAGUUGGUGGGGUAAAGGCCUACCAAGGCGACGAUCUGUAGCGGGUCUGAGAGGAUGAUCCGCCACACUGGGACUGAGACACGGCCCAGACUCCUACGGGAGGCAGCAGAGGGGAAUAUUGGACAAUGGGGGGAACCCUGAUCCAGCCAUGCCGCGUGUGUGAAGAAGGCCUUAUGGUUGUAAAGCACUUUAAGCGAGGAGGAGGCUACUGAGACUAAUACUCUUGGAUAGUGGACGUUACUCGCAGAAUAAGCACCGGCUAACUCUGUGCCAGCAGCCACGGUAA